UACAGAGGGUGCAAGCGUUAAUCGGAAUUACUGGGCGUAAAGCGUGCGUAGACGGUUAUGUAAGUCAGAUGUGAAAGCCCCGGGCUCAACCUGGGAAUUGCAUUUGAGACUGUGUAGCUAGAGUCCGGAAGAGGAGAGUGGAAUUCCCGGUGUAGCGGUGAAAUGCGCAGAUAUCGGGAAGAACACCCGUGGCGAAGGCGGCUCUCUGGGACGGUACUGGACGCUGAGACGCGAAAGCGUGGGGAGCGAACAGG
rnacentral:rRNA from 1 species